rnacentral:rRNA from 1 species
AUGGAGGGCCUCUCAUCCGCACAGUUCCUGAAGACACUUGCGCUCAUGGAUUGCAUGUCUGUAACUGAUGCUGGUAUUAGUCACAUUAUUCAAGCUCCUUGCAUGAGUAGUCUCAUCCUCCGCAGAUGUGAGAACGUGACAGAUCGUGGAAUGGCUGAGCUGGCACGUUCACAGAAGUUGGAGUCCCUGACCGUUAUAGGCUGCCAGCAGAUGUCUCAGGAAGGUGUGCAUGGUGCUGCCAAAUCAGUUCGCUACUCGGCAGAGAUUGAAAGCUACGACAGUCUAAAAGGAAUGAACAGGAACAGGAACAGGAAAAGACGUCGAUCGCCCUGA